UGGAUGAGUGCUUUGAUGAAGAACAGAAGUAGGCUUAGUUUGCCCUUAAUUUGUUUGGGAACCUUAGAUUCUAUCAGAAUUUGUAAAGAAGACUAGAAACAUGCCUUCGAGAAGCUUGCUGCCGUUUUGUGACUGGGAACAUAUCAUUUCUUGUAACUGAUAAUCAAAAGCACAUCAAGGUUGUCUCUGAUGAAGCUAUUACAAAUGCUACUGGCUUGAUUGGCUCUAGUGAGAAAGACCUGAUUCUGACAAGAUCAGCCCGGAGGUCACCGAAUGUCUGACACAUGAACAGGCAAUCGACACAAGAGAUGCAUUGGCAAUGUUUAUUUAUGUGAGCAUGUUCGACUGGCUUGUGGAGAAGAUAAACUUGUCACUUUCCUAGGGGAAAGGUGAUAUGGGGUGUUCAGUAAGGAUCAUUGAUAUGGAUUUGAGUAACUUAAGGUAUACAAUGAUUGAUAUUUUCCACAAUGUAUACUAUGGUGUGUUUUGUCCCACUUUAAAUAAUCUUAGUUGGAUGGUUGCUUUUUUGCACCUAAA